UACGUAGGCAGCAAGCGUUGUUCGGAGUUACUGGGCGUAAAGAGUGCGUAGGUGGUGCCCUAAGUCUGUUGUGAAAUCUCCCGGCUUAACUGGGAGGGUGCGGUGGAAACUGGGGUGCUUGAGUGUGGGAGAGGUAAGCGGAAUUCCUGGUGUAGCGGUGAAAUGCGUAGAUAUAGGAAGGAACACCAGUGGCGAAGGCGACCACCUGGACUGAUACUGACACUGAGGUGCGAAAGCGUGGGGAGCAAACAGG
rnacentral:rRNA from 1 species